UCUCUGGUAGGGUCCAGCUGCAGCCCCGGAGAACAACACCCUGGCGUGAGAACAACCCUGGCGCGACGGAAGUACUCUGGCGUGAUGGAAGUGAUUUAUUUUUUUAACUUUUUUUUACACACCGCUAAAUUGGAUACCAAAGAUGAACCAUGGAAUAUGCUUGGUACCUUGCCAUGGAGGCACCGUUUGACUUCACUGUUAAAGACAUGCCAGUCAUCAGAAAAUGGUGGUGCACAGUACUGCUUGAGAACUUCCACCUGGAUGGGCACGGCAGAAGGUUCCCACACUUCAUGGAGGAGGCCAAACAAAUGGCGGCUGGACUACUUCCACCAGUCUUCAGACUGAAGCGAAAAAGAGAAGUGAAUGACGUUUCCAGUGACAGAAUACAAAUAAUAUAUUGUAUAGGCUUAAUAUUGAUUUGACUGUUUGAUUCUUUUGACAGUGAGUUGGAGCUGAUGGCAGUCAGCAUGAAGAAGCUAUAUCUUUAAGCUUCUGUAGAUUAUUU